rnacentral:rRNA from 1 species
GAUGAACGCUGGCGGCGUGCCUAAUACAUGCAAGUCGAGCGAACAGAUGAGGAGCUUGCUCCUCUGACGUUAGCGGCGGACGGGUGAGUAACACGUGGAUAACCUACCUAUAAGACUGGGAUAACUUCGGGAAACCGGAGCUAAUACCGGAUAAUAUAUUGAACCGCAUGGUUCAAUAGUGAAAGACGGUUUUGCUGUCACUUAUAGAUGGAUCCGCGCCGCAUUAGCUAGUUGGUAAGGUAACGGCUUACCAAGGCAACGAUGCGUAGCCGAACGGAGGGGGUGAUCGGCCACACUGGAACUGAGACACGGUCCAGACUCCUACGGGAGGCAGCAGUAGGGAAUCGUCCGCAAUGGGCGGAAGCCUGACGGAGCAACGCCGCGUGAGUGAUGAAGGUCUUCGGAUCGUAAAACUCUGUUAUUAGGGAAGAACAAAUGUGUAAGUAACUAUGCACGUCGUGACGGUACCUAAUCAGAAAGCCACGGCUAACUACGUG